AGCCUGUCUUUUCUUAGUCCUAGAAUUCUUUUCCAUGUUAAGUAUGUGUCAGAAGGCCACAUUACCUAGCCUUAAUUGUUGGUCUAUACUUCUGUACUUCACCGGUGAAAUUAAACUUUGGUACAUUAAACUCUUAACCUACCAAAUCCUUUCAGUAGUACUCCAAAUACAUUUUACUUUAAGAACGCAGUUGUUUAUUCAUUAAAAAAACAUGUCUGCAUCUUUUAAUACUGAUGCCAUCAGCGCAGCCAUCAGUUGUAUAGAAAAAUGCUGCGGUGGUGCUCUGCUGUCUGUCAUCGUAUAAAAGCUCGUAACAGAAAAAAAAAAAAAAAUUUUGGAGACCAUUCCAUGAGUGUGCUCUCAGACUCGUCUGGUUCUCACAUCAAACCACGUUGUCUACUAUCCCUUACUUAAUCAUCAUAGGUCAUAAGGUGCAUAUCCGACUCUAGUGAGUAUGAAAGCUAAAGUGCUGGCCAUGUAGGCUAUCGAAUGAAAAAUGUCCAUUAGACAGGGUCAUCUCAUCUCAUUAUCUUGGACCAUUUUGGAAUGCAAAUGGCUUAAUGGCAUAAAGGGAUAUUCCACCAUUUGGGGAAUUACACUCAUUUUCCACCCCCCCCCCCCCCCCCCCACCCCUUGAGUUAAGAAAUUGAUUGUUGAAGUGACUAAGAUUUCCGGUAAUUAUCCUCAUUCCUCAUGAGGCAGUAAUAUAUAUGGAUUAUGAGUGAAGAUUUGAUCUGAGACUUUUAUUACCAUUUCAGUAUGGCACAGAUAUAAGUUGUUAGAUAAGUCAAAAGUAGGACGAACUGGACAGAAGUGCAUGUUGAGUUGGAGCAGAUCACUUUUGAAGUCAAACUACAGUUUUAGAAAAUGUUUGGGUUUAAGGGAAGAUAAAUUGCACAGAAAAAUCAAAUAAAGAGGUGUUGAUAAUUCACUAGCAAAUAAGGGCAUCCAAAGGGCAGAGAAAACGGGUGAACCGAUAGAUUAUGACCCUGCUUGUUUAAACCGCAUGGCGUCACAUAUGCGACGCAGCACUGAAAUCACAAGUGCCUAAUCGAACUCUACACAGGAAAAGAAGCUAAAAAGGCCACGGUAAAAGUUUGCUGGAAGACUAACAACUGCGAACAUUCGUGGAAAUAUCGUGCAGAACUGACUAAAUCUACAAAGACUGGAGAGGCAGCCAGUUUUCUUCCUAGUGACAAUCAAUUUCUAGUAGCCUAACAACCAAUUCCUAAUUGAAACUAAUCCUUGCCAUCAAUUCACUGCUGUCCAUGGAAAAUGCAAACUGUGGAAAUAAGCUGCUGAAAUCUAAAUAAAAAGAAAAAAAGAGGAAAAGGAUACAACUGAGUGGAAUCCAGUUUUAUUCUCCAUGUCGAUUAGUCAAACUCCUUUUUCAAGUUGACGAACCCUGAGCAUCUACUUGACAGUCAUUUGUGUGUAUUUUACAGUCAAUGACAAUGUAUACAAUGACAGUCUAAUUCACUUAUUUGCAUAACAGUGGAGUUUAGUUAGAUAGUUUACAUACACAUCCCCUGUACAGUGUCUGGACGAUACUCUGUAGUCUGUUUGCCUGGAUGGGGCCCAAUGGGGCGGCUCUGUGUGAGCUAGCCAGGAAUGGUAGUGUCAUCAGACAAGCGGAGUGGACUGUGUCUAUAAACCCCAACAACUGGUCUUGACCAUUCCUCACACACAACCAAUCCAUGAAGGGAAGUACCGUUGUAAGGUGCGCUCGAAUGUAGGAGCAACGAAAUCCUACUCUCACCUGAAUUUACAAGAGUGCCACCACAGUCUCCAUGUCCACAGCCGUGAUGGAAACUCGACGUGCCGCGCCAGAGGCGUCUACCCAGAGGCCCACAUCCACUGGUUCCAGGGGUCCAAGAACCUGACCAACUCCUCAGUGGCCCACCCCAGCGUACGGGACGAGGACGGCACCUAUGAGAUAGCCAGCACACUUCUCCACCGGCCCCACUCCACUCUGAACUGCUCCCUGUGGAGCCCGAGCUCUGGGAGAUACCUCAGCAGCACAAGGACGCGUGAAGAGAUGACGCCUCCGAGAGCUCCAGGGCGAACAGUUAUGGAAGCACCGGAACAAUCAGGACUGUUUUGGCAGCGGCGGCGUUCACCCUACAUUGGGACAUGUGUAAAUACUGAUGAGAGUUCACAGAAAUAUCCAACCGUAAACCCGUAAAGCCCCAAAGAGAGUAGUGAGAUCAGCUGAACGUACCUCCAGGUGUGCACUACCCAACCUUCAGGAAUCUUACAUCAGGAGAUGUCAGUUCAGACUAAAGAAAAUCAUCAGACAUCCCAAUCACCCCAACAACUGUCUCUUCUCUGUCCCCCACUCUCGGAAACGUUACCGCUGGCUGAAAGCCAACACUGAGAGAAUGCGGAAACGUUUUUAUGCCCAGCUCUCCGGAUUCUGAAUGAGGACUGUAGCUGGAGCACAAGCACAUGCUGAAAACAUCUCAUGCACUGUGGACAUUUCUUUCUACUUCUCUUCUUUUCUGUUUGUUUCCUUAUUGAUACACACAUUGCACAUGGAGUCAGUGGACAAAGCAUUUCACUGCAUACACUUUGUAUAAUUGUAUGUGAUAAAUAAAUUUGAAUUUGAGGUGA